rnacentral:rRNA from 1 species
GUCCAACGUUAAUCGGGGCAGGGUGAGUCGACCCCUAAGGCGAGGCCGAAAGGCGUAGUCGAUGGGAAGCAGGUUAAUAUUCCUGCACGACUUGUAAUUGCGAUGAAGGACGUACUAACCUGCGAUAAGCUGUGAGAAGUCGGUAAGAGACGCUAUUACUCACAGAUUUCCGAAUGGGGAAACCCACUUAGCAUAAGCUAGGUAUCUGUUACUGAAUACAUAGGUAACAGAGGCGAACCGGGAGAACUGAAACAUCUAAGUACCCCGAGGAAAAGAAAUCAACCGAGAUUCCCUCAGUAGCGGCGAGCGAACGGGGAUUAGCCCUUAAGCAUCUUGGAAGUUAGUGGAACGGUCCUGGAAAGGCCGGCGAUACAGGGUGAUAGCCCCGUACACGAAAACAACCUUGAUGUGAAAUCGAGUAGGGCGGGACACGUGACAUCCUGUCUGAAUAUGGGGGGACCAUCCUCCAAGGCUAAAUACUCCUGACUGACCGAUAGUGAACCAGUACCGUGAGGGAAAGGCGAAAAGAACCCCUGUGAGGGGAGUGAAAUAGAACCUGAAACCGUGUACGUACAAGCAGUGGGAGCCCUUCGGGGUGACUGCGUACCUUUUGUAUAAUGGGUCAGCGACUUACAUUUUGUAGCGAGGUUAACCGUAUAGGGGAGCCGUAGGGAAACCGAGUCUUAACUGGGCGUCUAGUUGCAAGGUGUAGACCCGAAACCGGGUGAUCUAGCCAUGGGCAGGUUGAAGGUUGAGUAACAUCAACUGGAGGACCGAACCCACUAACGUUGCAAAGUUAGGGGAUGACCUGUGGCUGGGGGUGAAAGGCCAAUCAAACUCGGAGAUAGCUGGUUCUCCCCGAAAGCUAUUUAGGUAGCGCCUCGGACGAAUACUACUGGGGGUAGAGCACUGUUUGGGCUAGGGGGUCAUCCCGACUUACCAACCCCAUGCAAACUCCGAAUACCAGUAAGUACUAUCCGGGAGACACACGGCGGGUGCUAACGUCCGUCGUGAAGAGGGAAACAACCCAGACCGCCGGCUAAGGUCCCAAAGUUCUGGUUAAGUGGGAAACGAUGUGGGAAGGCUCAGACAGCUAGGAUGUUGGCUUAGAAGCAGCCAUCAUUUAAAGAAAGCGUAAUAGCUCACUAGUCGAGUCGGCCUGCGCGGAAGAUGUAACGGGGCUCAAACCAGGCACCGAAGCCGCGGAUUCACACUUAUGUGUGAGUGGUAGGGGAGCGUUCUGUAAGUCUGCGAAGGUGUAUCGAGAGGUAUGCUGGAGAUAUCAGAAGUGCGAAUGCUGACGUAAGUAACGAUAAAGGGGGUGAAAAGCCUCCUCGCCGGAAGACCAAGGGUUCCUGUCCAACGUUAAUCGGGGCAGGGUGAGUCGACCCCUAAGGCGAGGCCGAAAGGCGUAGUCGAUGGGAAGCAGGUUAAUAUUCCUGCACGACUUGUAAUUGCGAUGGGGGGACGGAGAAGGCUAGGUGGGCCAGGCGACGGUUGUCCUGGUGAAAGUGCGUAGGUGGUGUUUCUAGGCAAAUCCGGAGACACAACACUGAGACACGAGACGAACACACUACGGUGUGGAAGCCAUUGAUGCCCUGCUUCCAGGAAAAGCCUCUAAGCUUCAGAUUACAAGUCAUCGUACCCCAAACCGACACAGGUGGUCGGGUAGAGAAUACCAAGGCGCUUGAGAGAACUCGGGUGAAGGAACUAGGCAAAAUAGAACCGUAACUUCGGGAGAAGGUUCGCUCUUGACAGUGAAGUCCCUUGCGGAUGGAGCAGUUGGGAGUCGCAGUGACCAGAUGGCUGGGACUGUUUAUCAAAAACACAGCACUCUGCAAACACGAAAGUGGACGUAUAGGGUGUGACACCUGCCCGGUGCCGGAAGGUUAAUUGAUGGGGUUAGCGCAAGCGAAGCUCUUGAUCGAAGCCCCGGUAAACGGCGGCCGUAACUAUAACGGUCCUAAGGUAGCGAAAUUCCUUGUCGGGUAAGUUCCGACCUGCACGAAUGGUGUAACCAUGGCCAUGCUGUCUCCACCCGAGACUCAGUGAAAUCGAAUUCGCCGUGAAGAUGCGGUGUACCCGCGGCUAGACGGAAAGACCCCGUGAACCUUUACUACAGCUUGGCACUGAACAUUGAACCUACAUGUGUAGGAUAGGUGGGAGGCUUUGAAGGCGUGACGCCAGUUGCGCUGGAGCCGUCCUUGAAAUACCACCCUUGUAUGUUUGAUGUUCUAACGCAGGGCCCUGAAUCGGGCUCGCGGACAGUGCCUGGUGGGUAGUUUGACUGGGGCGGUCUCCUCCCAAAGAGUAACGGAGGAGCACGAAGGUUGGCUAAUCCUGGUCGGACAUCAGGAGGUUAGUGCAAUGGCAUAAGCCAGCUUAACUGCGAGACGGACAGGUCGAGCAGGUACGAAAGUAGGUCAUAGUGAUCCGGUGGUUCUGAAUGGAAGGGCCAUCGCUCAACGGAUAAAAGGUACUCCGGGGAUAACAGGCUGAUACCGCCCAAGAGUUCAUAUCGACGGCGGUGUUUGGCACCUCGAUGUCGGCUCAUCACAUCCUGGGGCUGAAGUCGGUCCCAAGGGUAUGGCUGUUCGCCAUUUAAAGUGGUACGCGAGCUGGGUUCAGAACGUCGUGAGACAGUUCGGUCCCUAUCUGCCGUGGGCGUUGGAUGAUUGAAGGGAGUUGCUCCUAGUACGAGAGGACCGGAGUGAACGAACCUCUGGUGUUCGGGUUGUCACGCCAGUGGCACUGCCCGGUAGCUAAGUUCGGAAUCGAUAACCGCUGAAAGCAUCUAAGCCUCAGAUUACAAGUCAUCGUACCCCAAACCGACACAGGUGGUCGGGUAGAGAAUACCAAGGCGCUUGAGAGAACUCGGGUGAAGGAACUAGGCAAAAU